rnacentral:ncRNA from 1 species
UUUUUGGUAAGCAGAACUGGCGAUGCGGGAUGAACCGAACGCGCGGUUAAGGUGCCAAAGUCGACGCUCAUCAGACNCCACAAAAGGUGUUGGUUGCUCUAGACAGCAGGACGGUGGCCAUGGAAGUUGGAAUCCGCUAAGGAGUGUGUAACAACUCACCUGCCGAAGCAACUAGCCCUGAAAAUGGAUGGCGCUCAAGCGUCGCACCUAUACCGUGCCGUCGGAGCAGAUGCGAAGCUCCGACGAGUAGGAGGGCGUGGGGGUCGUGACGCAGCCUCUGGCGCGAGCCUGGGUGAAACGGCCUCCAGUGCAGAUCUUGGU